CAGAGUCUGGAAAACAUUGGCAACAGGAGAAGGGCAUGGAUGAUUGGGUCUGGGUGGUAUCUAUUCCCCCUCUGAAAUGUGGUUCUUACACUGCCCAUAGCCUUCCUCCAAUACUUUCUACUGAGGAACUGGAGGAAUUACAGAAGAAGAAGAAGGAACUCAAAUUUCAAAUGAAUACUGUGCAGUUGGCCUGUUGAUGAAGACAACAGCUGAAGUGCGGCCAAAGGAGUCUGAGAUGGCAUCGAUCCCCGUAAAGAGAAACUACUUUGUUUCCCAAGCUUCAAAGUGUCAACCUGGAAAUUCAGAGAAACCGCCACAUGCAUCAAGAUUCAAGGACGCCAAAUGUCCUUUGAAAACACAAGAAACAAAAAAAACACCCAAUACUUUGCGCACUGAAUGCCAAAGAAA